rnacentral:rRNA from 1 species
AUUGAACGCUGGCGGCAGGCCUAACACAUGCAAGUCGAACGAGUGGCGGACGGGUGAGUAAUGUCUGGGAAACUGCCUGAUGGAGGGGGAUAACUACUGGAAAACGUAGCUAAUACCGCAUACCACCAAAUGGGCCCAGAUGGGAUUAGCUAGUUGGUGGGGUAACGGCUCACCAAGGCGACGAUCCCUAGCUGGUCUGAGAGGAUGACCAGCCACACUGGAACUGAGACACGGUCCAGACUCCUACGGGAGGCAGCAGUGGGGAAUAUUGCGCAAUGGGCGCAAGCCUGAUGCAGCCAUGCCGCGUGUAUGAAGAAGGCCUUCGGGUUGUAAAGUACUUUCAUCGGGGAGGCGUUACCCGCAGAAGAAGCACCGGCUAACUCCGUGCCAGCCGCCGCGGUAAUUC